rnacentral:rRNA from 1 species
ACGGGUGAGUAACACGUAAGGAACCUGCCUCAAGGAUUGGGAUAACUCCGAGAAAUCGGAGCUAAUACCGGAUAGUUCAACGGACCGCAUGGUCCGCUGAUGAAAGGCGCUCCGGCGUCACCUUGAGAUGGCCUUGCGGUGCAUUAGCUAGUUGGUGGGGUAACGGCCCACCAAGGCGACGAUGCAUAGCCGACCUGAGAGGGUGAUCGGCCACACUGGGACUGAGACACGGCCCAGACUCCUACGGGAGGCAGCAGUAGGGAAUCUUCCACAAUGGACGAAAGUCUGAUGGAGCAACGCCGCGUGAGUGAUGAAGGUUUUCGGAUCGUAAAACUCUGUUGUAAGGGAAGAACACGUACGAGAGGAAAUGCUCGUACCUUGACGGUACCUUGCGAGAAAGCCACGGCUAACUACGUGCCAGCAGCCGCGGUAAUACGUAGGUGGCAAGCGUUGUCCGGAAUUAUUGGGCGUAAAGCGCGCGCAGGCGGCCUUUUAAGUCUGAUGUGAAAGCCCCCGGCUCAACCGGGGAGGGCCAUUGGAAACUGGAAGGCUUGAGUACAGAAGAGAAG